UACGUAGGGACCAAGCGUUGUUCGGAAUUAUUGGGCGUAAAGGGUGCGUAGGCGGUUUGGUAAGUCUUUUGUGAAAUCUCUGGGCUCAACUCAGAGUCUGCAGGAGAAACUGCCGGGCUGGAGUGUGGGAGAGGUGAGUGGAAUUUCCGGUGUAGCGGUGAAAUGCGUAGAUAUCGGAAGGAACACCUGUGGCGAAAGCGGCUCACUGGACCACAACUGACGCUGAUGCACGAAAGCUAGGGGAGCAAACAGG
rnacentral:rRNA from 1 species